GGCUGAAUAGCAUAAAGGUAAUGUGCGAGAUUGCAAAUCUUAAAAUGAUGGUUCGAUUCCGUCUUUAGCUU
rnacentral:tRNA from 1 species